GUUUGUGACAUAGAUAUAUUCAGAUAUACAUUCAGCAUUAAACACAUUUGGGGGAAAAAGGCAAAAAUGAAAUUUAACAGAAUAUUCAUAUUCAGACUUGAGCCACGCCUCUUUCUUUUUUUUCCUCCAGGGAAGCUAUUCUUUUUUUGUGUGUUUUCAUUGAAGUAGUUUUGUUUCUGCAUUAGUUCUUCUUUCUUUCUGAAGGUCUUUAAGGCCUUUUAGUUUUCUUUCUUUGGACAUUGGCUGGUUUCUUCACUCAUUCUCAGUCCCGUCUUUGCACCUCACCAGGUUUCUUUUGUCUUGUUUUGUUUGUUUGUUAAGCCAAAGCACUGACCUAUAAAUCAUUUAAGCACCAAAGAAACCAAAAUCAGUGGAUGAACCAGUGUUGUGCAUACACAUAACAGUAAGCAAAUAAUCCAUUUGAAAAUGUAUCUUUGGGUAAUUUGUUACCAACAACCUGUCAACAAAACAUAAUUGGUUCCCAUUUCUUGCCAAAGAUAAAACAGUUUGAAAAAAAAAAAUACUAUUUUCUGACCAUCAAGGCGAUUCCCAAAAAACUAUUAGCUAAAAAUGUCACAUCUUGGCAGGGUGUGUGUUAUGUUCUUUUAAAAAAAAAUUGGAAACUGGACAAGUAGAGGACAAAAGAAGUGUCAGGCCUAAAAAGCAAACUACAGCAGAUUGCACAUGGUCCUUCAUUUGAUCCAUCUACUGUUCGCUGAAUCUUCAUCACAAAUGGUCUUGGUGGAAGGGUGACUGAUGUGAAUUCCUUCUUAAGAAAGGAAAAUAGGGAGAAAAGACUGAGGUAUGCCAAAGUAGAAAAGAACUUGACCAGACACACCAGGAAAAAAUAAAUAAAAAAUAAAAAUCAGGAAAAAAAUAAAUCAUUGCCCCCAUUUGAGAUUUUUCUAGCAAAACAUUAGGAAAUAUGAGGUGGCUCAACAUUUUUGCACAAAUUUAAAAUCUAAAAAGCAACAUGCACAUCCUCUAAAUGUUAUGCAUAUUUGACCUCAUUACUCAACUGUUGUAAAUUACUAACUUCCAAACAUUUCUACCCAAAACCAUAAGAGAGCCUCUUUAGGCUGUUUAUCUCUCUAGAAACUGGAUUCGCUUUGACUGCAGUACUAAGGAUUACUAUACCUUUAAAAGCAAAUUUAAAGAACUUUAUUUUUAUGGUAGACUUGUUACAAAUCCACCCACAAAUUAAUCAGAAUUCAAAAGAAAAAUACUUAUUUUACUUGAGAUCAAGCUAUCGUCUGGCUUGACCUAAGAACCAAAUGUUUG
ensembl:lncRNA